UCGCGCCGAGGCUCGAGCGGCCGUCGCCAUUUUAUCGGGUUGACUCUGACAGACGCGGGAGCCGCCGCCGCCCCCGGAGGCCCCGUCGAGAUGGUGAAGCUGUUCAUCGGCAACCUGCCCCGCGAGGCGACGGAGCAGGAGAUCCGCUCGCUGUUCGAGCAGUACGGGAAGGUGCUCGAGUGCGACAUCAUCAAGAACUACGGCUUCGUGCACAUCGAGGACAAGACGGCGGCCGAGGACGCCAUCCGCAACCUGCACCACUACAAGCUGCACGGCGUCAACAUCAACGUGGAGGCCAGCAAGAACAAGAGCAAGGCCUCCACCAAGCUGCACGUGGGCAACAUCAGCCCCACGUGCACCAACAUGGAGCUGCGCGCCAAGUUCGAGGAGUACGGGUCCGUGAUCGAGUGCGACAUCGUCAAGGACUACGCCUUCGUGCACAUGGAGCGCGCCGAGGACGCCGUGGAGGCCAUCCGCGGCCUGGACAACACCGAGUUCCAAGGCAAACGGAUGCACGUGCAGCUGUCCACCAGCCGGCUCCGGACCGCCCCCGGAAUGGGAGACCAGAGCGGCUGCUAUCGGUGCGGGAAAGAGGGCCACUGGUCCAAAGAGUGUCCAGUGGAUCGGACGGGCCGCGUGGCAGACUUGACCGAGCAGUAUAAUGAGCAGUACGGAGCCAUCCGCGCGCCCUACGCCAUGGGCUACGGGGAGUCAGUGUAUUACAACAAUCCAUACGGAGCGCUCGACUAUUAUAAGCGUUACCGGGUGAGGUCUUAUGAGGCGGUGGCGGCAGCGGCGGCGGCCUCCGCGUACAACUAUGCAGAGCAGACCCUGUCCCAGCUCCCACAAGUCCAGAACCCAGCCAUGAGCAGUCACCUCACCUCCUCCUCUCUCAACCCUUACGAUAGACACCUGUUGCCAGCCUCAGGAGCUGCUGCUGCCACCGCUGCUGUGGCUGCCGCUGCCGCCGCCGCUACUGCAGCCACCUCCUCCUAUUACGGGCGGGACCGGAGCCCCCUGCGCCGAGCUGCAGCUGCGGUCCCCGCUAUCGGAGAGGGCUACGGUUAUGGGCAUGAGAAUGAGCUGUCCCAGGCCUCGGCAGCUGCGCGGAAUUCUCUGUACGAUGUGGCGCGGUACGAGCGGGAGCAGUAUACAGACCGGGCGCGGUACUCGGCCUUUUAAAGCUCGAGGCUGACAGGAAAGGCCUCGUCACAUCGUUUAGUGUGGGAAGACGUUCCCUGCACACCCUUUGCUGAAAGCUGACUGCUGCCCUCAGAGUAUCUGGGUUGAUGUUGUUAGUGGACACACGUUCUGGACCUGGGCGGCCUGUCCCUUGCCCACUGUAGGCCACUUUGCCCAAGAAUUGGAUUGGAUCUUGAUCUCUUGAGAUUUCUUUCUGGCUCAGCCUGAGACGUCCAGCUGCUUUCAAAUACUUUCCUUAGGAGAGGCUGGGAGCCAGCCCUUAGCAGUCGGAGCCCCGCCGUCCCCGGACAGUGUCUAAGCCUCUUGUGUUGUGCUCUCUUUCAGGUAGGCUAUUUGCGGGCUGAACCCUCGGGCUGCGGUCGGUCGUAUGGGAGGACUGCUUCACUCGCGCGGUCCCCUUUGCCGGGAUGUUGUCGUUGCUUCAUGUUUCAGUAAACAAAGGAGUUUGUGACCAACUGUGGCUUUUUUUCCCCCUUAAUUUAAUUCUUCUAAGGUGGCUCUUUCCUCCCUGCUAACAGACCGUCUGUGUAACUUCUCAUUCAACAUUUCCUUCUUUCCUCAGCCUCUGAGCAGCCCGGGCUGGUAAGGACUCUGCUGGCCUUGCCCCUCCCGAGGGAACCUGGAGCCCUUCUCCCUCCCUGGCUUCUCCUAGGAGUUCAGCUCCUGUCCUUGGCCACCAGCACUAGGAUCUGCUGGCCCUUUACUGGGACUGUCUGGUGUCAAAUAGCCCACCCCAUCUGGACUGUCACACUGCAGCAGCUGACCUGAGAGUGCUGAGAUCCUGGGGGGCCAGGGCAGGGGUUGCCGUGGUGGGGGAGGGGAGCGCUUUUUUAAUGACCUCUGAUCAUGGUGCCAGCACGUGCUGGAGGCGACUCAGCCCCUUCUCCCCAUGCCCUUUUUGAACAAAUAAACCUUUCUACCAAUCCAG